GCUCAAAUUUGAAAUCUUCAAGGUUUUACCUUGACGAAUUGUAGUUUAAAGAAGUGUUUUCUGUUGGUGUUUUGGUAAAAGUUCUUUGGAAUAGGACAUCAUAGAGGGUGAGAAUCCCGUAUUUGACCAUUACUUCCAGCGUUGUGAUACACUUUCAAAGAGUCGGACUGUUUGGGAAUGCAGUCCAAAAUGGGUGGUAAAUUUCAUCUAAAGCUAAAUAUUGGCGAGAGACCGAUAGCGAACAAGUACCGUGAGGGAAAGAUGAAAAGAACUUUGAAAAGAGAGUUAAACAGUACGUGAAAUUGUCAAAAGGGAAGCGUUUGACACCAGUGUUGUUUUCUCGAAAAUCAAUUAAAAAAAGUUGGAUUUUGUAUUGUUAAGACCUUAUCAGCUUACUGUACUCUUUUCUUGCUUUUUUUAAUGCACUUUUCAUUUAACAAG
rnacentral:rRNA from 1 species